rnacentral:rRNA from 1 species
GACGAACGCUGGCGGCGUGCCUAACACAUGCAAGUCGAACGAAGUAUAUUUUUCGGAAUAUACUUAGUGGCGGACGGGUGAGUAACGCGUGAACAAUCUGCCCUAUACAAAGGAAUAGCCUCGGGAAACUGGGAUUAAAACCAUAUGACACUUAAUUAUCGCAUGAUAGAUAAGUCAAAUUGAAUAAGAGGUAUAGGAUGAGUUCGCGUCUGAUUAGCUAGUUGGUAAGGUAAAGGCUUACCAAGGCGACGAUCAGUAGCCGGCCUGAGAGGGUGAACGGCCACACUGGAACUGAGACACGGUCCAGACUCCUACGGGAGGCAGCAGUGGGGAAUAUUGCACAAUGGGCGAAAGCCUGAUGCAGCGACGCCGCGUGAGUGAAGAAGGUCUUCGGAUCGUAAAACUCUGUCCUUGGUGACGAAAAAAUGACGGUAGCCAAGGAGGAAGCCCCGGCUAACUACGUGCCAGCAGCCGCGGUAAUACGUAGGGGGCGAGCGUUGUCCGGAUUUACUGGGCGUAAAGGGUGAGUAGGCGGUUAUAUAUGUCAGAUGUAAAAGGCACAGGCUUAACUUGUGUAAGCAUUUGAAACUGUAUAACUUGAGUGCAGGAGAGGUAAGUGGAAUUCCUAGUGUAGCGGUGAAAUGCGUAGAUAUUAGGAGGAACACCAGUGGCGAAGGCGACUUACUGGACUGUAACUGACGCUGAGUCACGAAAGCGUGGGUAGCAAACAGGAUUAGAUACCCUGGUAGUCCACGCUGUAAACGAUGAGUGCUAGGUGUUGGCUAGCGAUAGUCAGUGCCGAAGUAAACACAAUAAGCACUCCGCCUGGGGAGUACGGUCGCAAGACUGAAACUCAAAGGAAUUUGACGGGGACCCGCACAAGCAGCGGAGCAUGUGGUUUAAUUCGAAGCAACGCGAAGA